GACGUAGGGCGCGAGCGUUGUCCGGAUUUAUUGGGCGUAAAGAGCUCGUAGGCGGCUCAUUGCGUCAACCGUGAAAACCAGCAGCUCAACUGUUGGCUUGCGGUUGAUACGGAUGGGCUAGAGUUCGGGAGAGGAGAGUGGAAUUCCCAGUGUAGAGGUGAAAUUCGUAGAUAUUGGGAAGAACACCGGUGGCGAAGGCGGCUCUCUGGACCGAGACUGACGCUGAGGCGCGAAAGCGUGGGGAGCAAACAGG
rnacentral:rRNA from 1 species